rnacentral:lncRNA from 1 species
AUGACUGGAAUCGAAAUCAAAAUCGGAAUGGAGCUUGAAUAUUAGGAAAAAGUAGAAAUUUAGUCUAGAAGGAUUGGGGCAUUCCCAUUCUUCUCGAAUUGAAAUAGGAAUGAAACUCCUUCCAACCAAAUAGUAAGAAUAAGACUCACUCAUUCUAGAGUCCAACUCAUCUCAAUCGAACAUAUCCUAAAUUCCAUUCAAAUCCGAUUUUGGUCAU